UACCAAGGCCUGUCCCAACAGAGGCCAAAGGGGUUUGUCUUUUCUGAAAACUCACCUCUGCCCCUUCUUCUGUAGCCACACUAGAGGCUGCUCCGUGGGCCAUACAAAGGUGACUCUGGCCAUAAAGAGCAGAAAGUACAAGCCUACCUGUGGGCUGGCUUCCCCAGCUUUUCUGUGUAAGCGUGGCCCUUUGCAAGGCAGACUUGGCCCUGGGAUGUGAGGUGCAGCAUCCUGGAUGGGGUGGAUGGAGAUGCUGUUCUCCUCUGGUGUCAGUUUGUGACAUGUCCCAUCAACUCUGCAAGAUCCAGCUGAGCCUUCAAUUUGAACCAGUGACCGUCUGGAGACAGAACAGGGGCAAGAACAGACUGUGCUGGGAGAGAGUGAACCUAAAGUUCAGAUUUGUUCCUUGAAGCAAAAGUAAAGGACAAACCCCCAUAGCGAGCGCCGAGCCUGUACCUCUCCUUACAGCCAGUUCAUGAGCAGCCACUGGGAGCCAAGUGGGUUUCUUCCACCAGUAUUAACUAUAUAUCUAGUUAAGUACGUUGAUGACAUUUUCUUUCUGAAAAUCAUUAUGAAGUAGUGUUCAAAGUCAGCGCAGCUCAGCAGUAAAACCUCACUCGAAUGCUUGAAGACAAUUGGUUUUGCUUUUUUUGGUACAAACAUUUUGUAAGCUUCUUUUGUUGGGCUAUGUUUAUAUUCCUCUACCUCACAGAUUGGCCCCUUGUGCCAUACAAAGCCCCUUAAAUACUUUAAGUCAUUAUCACACAUUGGCCUUCCAUAGCCAAGUAUACACAGGUGAUGUGUUUAUACUGAGGGUCGCCUCAAGAUCUCCUGAUGAUGCCAAGGGCAGGCUUGAGCCCAGCCUCCUAGGCUGCUAGAGCGGAUGGUCCCCACGCUGACCCCUGUGCAUGGACUCUGCUCUCCAGACUCUCCUCUCUGGCAAGGCGUCGCUGGCUUUGGGGCAGCUGACUGCAGGUUACGGUCCCUCAGCCUCUGCUCCACUAGUUCAUUUCAUGACCCACCGAGAGCCCAGACUGUGGACACUGUCUUACCAAGCGCUGUGCGCAUAGCCUUCCUGGGCCUCCGCUGCCAGCACUAGCCCUGCCUGAAGGACACUUUGUGAAACGUUGGCUUCAGAUGUUCGGGAACUGGCAGUGAUUCGCGGGGAUCAGCUGACAGCAGCCGACCUGGUGCCUAUCUUCAGUGGCUUCUUGAAGGAUCUGGUCAAAGACAAGAGGAGAGUGCACCUCUGCCAGCUGCCGAGGUUGGUGGUGACUGACAGCAGCCCGAACUAGGGGUUUCCAUAUGGACUAGCAGAGUUACAGCUAGUCAUCUCACAAAUAAUUGUCUUCCUGAAGAAAUCCAUCAGGCUUUUGCAGCUACGUAGGAUAUGAUUUGGCCGGUGCCGGGGGCAAACUGGAAGAUUUUCUCUUUGCUGUGAGCUUUAAUCAUUAUCCUUAAUUUGAGAGGUUGAAGUUUAGUCAUUAUGUCAUGUUCGCAGCACACUCCUGCAAAAAGAACUGAGAAAAACAAGCCUGUGCCCGGCGCGGCGACCCUGCGCCCCCUGGCGGCGGGUGCUGGGCGAGCCCCCGGCGUCCCGGGCCCUAUCUCCCAUCGCUUGGCUUAUUGCAGUGGCCGGUUGCGAUAACGGCUGCGCCCGGCGCGAUAUUGGCCUCAUUUUCCCCCCGCAGACGGCGGGAGCGAUAUGAAGCCGUUCGCCGCGGCCCGCUUCCUCCCCGCCCUUUUUCAUUUCCUCUGCCCGCGUGCAAAUCACACCACUCUCUCUCACCCGAGCCGAAAAGGGCGGCCGAGUCAGACGGCUAAGUGGGGAAAGCGCGCGAGGAAGUGGUGUGAAAAAAGGAUAAAGAUUGAGAAAGAGCGGGCGAAAAAGCUAGGGGAAAGCGGUCUAGAAAGAAGAACCACGGGGCAAGAGCGAUGUUGAAAAUGAAGGAAGGAGUGAGAAG
rnacentral:lncRNA from 1 species